rnacentral:rRNA from 1 species
AUAAACGCUGGCGGCGUGCCUAAUACAUGCAAGUCGAACGAGUUCUCCCUAAAUCUUUUGAUGCUUGCAUUAAAAGAUUUAGGAUUCGGAACGAGUGGCGAACUGGUGAGUAACACGUGGGUAACCUGCCCUGAAGUGGGGGAUAACAUUUGGAAACAAAUGCUAAUACCGCAUAAUUAGUUGAAACCACAUGGUUUCAACUUGAAAAGAUGGCUCUGCUAUCACUUUAGGAUGGACCCGCGGCGUAUUAGCUAGUUGGUGAGAUAAUAGCCCACCAAGGCGAUGAUACGUAGCCGACCCGAGAGGUAAUCGCCCACAUUGGGACUGAGACACGGCCCAGACUCCUACGGGAGGCAGCAGUAGGAAUCUUACAC